rnacentral:rRNA from 1 species
AGUGAACUGUGGUUAAGGAACUCGGCAAAUUGCCCCCGUAACUUCGGGAGAAGGGGGGCCGCGGCUGGUGAUGGGACUUGCUCCCUGAGCUGGCUACGGCCGCAGAGACCAGGUGGAAGCGACUGUUUACUAAAAACACAGGUCCAUGCAAAGUCGCAAGACGACGUAUAUGGACUGACGCCUGCCCGGUGCUGGAACGUUAAGGGGACCAGUUAGUUCUUCGGAGCGAAGCUGAGAACUUAAGCGCCAGUAAACGGCGGUGGUAACUAUAACCAUCCUAAGGUAGCGAAAUUCCUUGUCGGGUAAGUUCCGACCUGCACGAAUGGCGUAACGACUUCCACGCUGUCUCAACCGCAGACUCGGCGAAAUUGCACUACGAGUAAAGAUGCUCGUUACGCGUGGCAGGACGGAAAGACCCCGGGACCUUUACUACAGCUUGGUAUUGGUGGUCGGUUCGAUUUGUGUAGCAUAGGUGGGAGACUUGGAAGCCCGGACGCCAGUUCGGGUGGAGUCAUCGUUGAAAUACCACUCUGAUCGUAUUGGCUGUCUAACCUCGAUCCGUGAUCCGGAUUAGGGACAGUGCCUGGUGGGUAGUUUAACUGGGGCGGUUGCCUCCCAAAGAGUAACGGAGGCGCUCAAAGGUUCCCUCAGCCUGGUUGGCAAUCAGGUGUCGAGUGUAAGUGCACAAGGGAGCUUGACUGUGAGACUGACAGGUCGAGCAGGGACGAAAGUCGGAACUAGUGAUCCGGCGCCGGCAUGUGGAAGCGGCGUCGCUCAACGGAUAAAAGGUACCCCGGGGAUAACAGGCUGAUCUUGCCCAAGAGUCCAUAUCGACGGCAUGGUUUGGCACCUCGAUGUCGGCUCGUCGCAUCCUGGGGCUGGAGUCGGUCCCAAGGGUUGGGCUGUUCGCCCAUUAAAGCGGCACGCGAGCUGGGUUUAGAACGUCGUGAGACAGUUCGGUCCCUAUCCGCCACGCGCGUAAGAGUCUUGAGGAGAUCUGUCCCUAGUACGAGAGGACCGGGACGGACGACCCUCUGGUGUGCCAGUUGUCCUGCCAAGGGCACGGCUGGUUAGCUACGUUCGGAAGGGAUAACCGCUGAAAGCAUCUAAGCGGGAAGCCCACUCCAAGAUGAGGGCUCUCACUGGGUUACCAGGUAAGGACCCCAGCUAGACGACUGGGUUGAUAGGCCGGAUGUGGAAGCACAGCAAUGUGUGGAGCUGACCGGUACUAAUAGUCCGAGGACUUGCUUAC